CCUACGGGAGGCAGCAGUGGGGAAUAUUGCACAAUGGGGGAAACCCUGAUGCAGCGACGCCGCGUGAGCGAUGAAGUAUUUCGGUAUGUAAAGCUCUAUCAGCCGGGAAGAAAUUGACGGGACCUGACUAAGAAGCCCCGGCUAACUACGUGCCAGCAGCCGCGGUAAUACGGAGGGGGCAAGCGGUAUCCGGAUGUACUGGGGGUAAAGGGAGCGUAGACGGGGGUGCAAGCCAGGUGUGAAAGCCCGGGGCUCAAACCCGGGACUGCAUUUGGAACUGUGCUGCUAGAGUGUGGGAGAGGCAGGCGGAAUGCCUGGUGUAGCGGUGAAAUGCGUAGAUAUUAGGAGGAACACCAGUGGCGAAGGCGGCCUGCUGGACGAUGACUGACGUUGAGGCUCGAAAGCGUGGGGAGCAAACAGGAUUAGAUACCCGAGUAGUC
rnacentral:rRNA from 1 species